ACUCCUACGGGAGGCAGCAGUGGGGAAUAUUGGACAAUGGGCGCAAGCCUGAUCCAGCCAUGCCGCGUGAGUGAUGAAGGCCCUAGGGUUGUAAAGCUCUUUCACCGGUGAAGAUAAUGACGGUAACCGGAGAAGAAGCCCCGGCUAACUUCGUGCCAGCAGCAGCGGUAAUACGAAGGGGGCUAGCGUUGUUCGGAUUUACUGGGCGUAAAGCGCACGUAGGCGGACUAUUAAGUCAGGGGUGAAAUCCCGGGGCUCAACCCCGGAACUGCCUUUGAUACUGGUAGUCUUGAGUUCGAGAGAGGUGAGUGGAAUUCCGAGUGUAGAGGUGAAAUUCGUAGAUAUUCGGAGGAACACCAGUGGCGAAGGCGGCUCACUGGCUCGAUACUGACGCUGAGGUGCGAAAGCGUGGGGAGCAAACAGGAUUAGAUACCCUAGUAGUCCC
rnacentral:rRNA from 1 species